rnacentral:rRNA from 1 species
UGGUUGAAUAUAGGAGAAUCAACUUCUAAGGCUCUAACGUUUAGUAUCGAUAGUGAAUGAGUAGUGUGAACAAAUGGUGAAAAGUUAUUAAAAAAGAAAAUUGAAAAGAUCCUGAAACUUAAUGUUUAACCUGUUAAAGCAUCAGCGAUAACGUACCUUUUGCAUAAUGGGCUAGUGAGUUAAUAAAAAUAGCAAGCUUAAUUUUAAAGUAGGCGUAGUGAAGACGAUUUAAAGUUAUUUUUAUUAAACCCGAAGCUAAUCGAUCUAAUUAUGAACAAGUCGAAGUUUUAUACGGAGGACUGAACCCGUGAAUGUUGCAAAAUUCUGGGAUGAUUUGUAAUUAGGGGUGAAAGGCCAAUCAAGAUUAGUGAUAGCUGGUUCUCUGCGAAAAUUAUCUAAGUAAUGAGAGUGUGAAUACUUUUUUAAGGUAAAGUCAUCUUUAAAUAAAGCAAUGGAAGAUUAGGCAAUAUUUUGAGCAACUUCAAAUGUAAGAAAGAAAAAUGCACUUAUUCAGACGUAUUCGCGCAAAGGUGAUACGUCAAGAGGGAAACAGCCCAGAUCGGUAAAUAAGGUGCUUAAUACUAUUUAAGUCGAAAAAAGGAAAACUAGUAUAUGACCUAGGGGAUAGGCUUAGAAGCAGCCACUCAUUAAAGAAAGAGUAACAACUCACUAAGUGUAUAUAGCUUUAUGAAUAAAAAAGCUCGAACUAGUUAUUUUUUGAUAAUGUAGAGGCGUUGAAAGUAGUAACCGAAUUUCCGAAAGUAAUAAACUUGGUAGCAGAGUGUUUUGUAAUUUGUUGAAGAUAAGUUGUUAAACUUGUUGGAGAAAUCAAAAUUAAUUAUACUAGUAUGAGUAACGUAAAAUAAUAUGAGAUUUAAGAUCAUCGGAAACCCUAAAGUUAUACUGCUAGGGAAUUCCUCGGUAUGCAACACGCUCCCUAAGAAAAAGAUAAAAAUCGUAUGUUUAAUGGGUAGAGACUGUUAUGACUUUAGUUAAGGGCUCGUCGUCGGAGCAAACCUAUUCUAAAUUCGAGACUUAACAAAACUAGAAAUAGAUCAGUCUAACUCCUACGGGAACAACAUCGUAUUAAAUCUGACACUAGUGGGUAGGUAGACUAUACUAAGAUGACGGAAGAAUGUGGUUGAAGGAACUCGGCAAAUUAAUUCUGUAACUUCGGGAUAAGGAAGAUUUGUGCGUACACUACCAAAGGUAGUCCCUUCGUACAAGUGUCAUAAAAGAGGGGGUGGCGACUGUUUACUAAA